AACGAACGCUGGCGGCAGGCCUCAAACAUGCAAGUCUAGGGGGUGUAGCAAUACAUCACCGGCGGACGGGUGCGUAACGCGUGGGAAUAUACCUAUUGGUUCGGAACAACACAGGGAAACUUGUGCUAAUACCGAAUGUGCCCUUACGGGGAAAGAUUUAUCGCCAAUGGAUUAGCCCGCGUCCGAUUAGCUAGUUGGUGAGGUAACGGCUCACCAAGGCUCCGAUCGGUAGCUGUUCUGAGAGGAAGAUCAGCCACACUGGGACUGAGACACGGCCCAGACUCCUACGGGAGGCAGCAGUUGGGAAUCUUGGACAAUGGGGGAAACCCUGAUCCAGCCAUGCCGCGUGAGUGAUGAAGGCCUUCGGGUUGUAAACUCUUUCGACGGGGACGGAUAAUGACGGUACCCGUAGAAGAAGCUCCGGCUAACUUCGUGCCAGCAGCCGCGGUAAU
rnacentral:rRNA from 1 species